rnacentral:rRNA from 1 species
CUAUACAGUGAAACUGCGAAUGGCUCAUUAAAUCAGUUAUCGUUUAUUUGAUAGUACCUUACUACUUGGAUAACCGUGGUAAUUCUAGAGCUAAUACAUGCUAGAAGUCCGCCCCCCUGGGUCGGAUGUAUUUAUUAGAUAAAAAACCAAUGUCCUUCGGGGCUCCUUGGUGAUUCAUAAUAACUUCACGAAUCGCAUGGCCUCGUGCCGGCGAUGGUUCAUUCAAAUUUCUGCCCUAUCAACUGUAGUCGGUAGGAUAGAGGCCUACCUAGGUUACAACGGGUAACGGGGAAUUAGGGUUCUAUUCCGGAGAGGGAGCCUGAGAAACGGCUACCACAUCCAAGGAAGGCAGCAGGCGCGCAAAUUACCCAAUCCCGACACGGGGAGGUAGUGACAAUAAAUACUGAUACAGGGCCCUUUCGGGUCUUGUAAUUGGAAUGAGUACAAUUUAAAUCCAUUAACGAGGAACAAUUGGAGGGCAAGUCUGGUGCCAGCAGCCGCGGUAAUUCCAGCUCCAAUAGCGUAUAUUAAAGUUGUUGCAGUUAAAAAGCUCGUAGUUGAACCUUGGGCCUGGCUAACCGGUCCGCCUCACCGGCGUGCACUGGAUCAGCCGGGCCUUUCCUUCUGGCUAACCCCAUGCACUUUAUCUGGGUGUGGGGAGAACCAGGACUUUUACUUUGAAAAAAUUAGAGUGUUCAAAGCAGGCAUUUGCUCGAAUACAUUAGCAUGGAAUAAUAGAAUAGGACGUGUGGCCCUAUUUUGUUGGUUUCUAGGACCGCCGUAAUGAUUAAUAGGGAUAGUCGGGGGCAUCCGUAUUCAAAUGUCAGAGGUGAAAUUCUUGGAUUUUUUGAAGACGAACUACUGCGAAAGCAUUUGCCAAGGAUGUUUUCAUUAAUCAGGAACGAAAGUUGAGGGAUCGAAGACGAUCAGAUACCGUCGUAGUCUCAACCAUAAACUAUGCCGACUAGGGAUCGGGGGAGUAACUUUUUUGCCUCUCUCGGAACCUUACGAGAAAUCAAAGUC